AGUGGGGAAUUUUGGACAAUGGGGGCAACCCUGAUCCAGCCAUGCCGCGUGCGGGAAGAAGGCCUUCGGGUUGUAAACCGCUUUUGUCAGGGAAGAAAUCUUCUGGGUUAAUACCUCGGGAGGAUGACGGUACCUGAAGAAUAAGCACCGGCUAACUACGUGCCAGCAGCCGCGGUAAUACGUAGGGUGCGAGCGUUAAUCGGAAUUACUGGGCGUAAAGCGUGCGCAGGCGGUUUUGUAAGAUCGAUGUGAAAUCCCCGGGCUCAACCUGGGAACUGCAUUGGUGACUGCAAGGCUGGAGUGCGGCAGAGGGGGAUGGAAUUCCGCGUGUAGCAGUGAAAUGCGUAGAUAUGCGGAGGAACACCGAUGGCGAAGGCAAUCCCCUGGGCCUGCACUGACGCUCAUGCACGAAAGCGUGGGGAGCAAA
rnacentral:rRNA from 1 species